rnacentral:misc_RNA from 1 species
AUAGGAAGAAGUAGUUCGAUAGUCGCCUCCUUCCCCAGGACAGGCGCCAUGCCCAUAAUUACUGAAGCCAAAGCUGAUCGAACAUGCUGUGACGAAUCUGAUGACAGUUCCUUCACACAGGGAAGGAUGUGUUGAAUAGCAACUUGUGGGCUCAAUACCCGGCAUACGCUUGUUACCUUUCCAGCAGCAGCUAUACGCACUUCAGCCUCAUUAUCCCGAAGAAGCCGAACAUAAACAGUAACCAAAUCCACCAUGGUGGGUUCAGGCCCAACAGCUUCAGACAACUCAUUUAAUUGAUUUGCAACCAUAUAGCGGACACGCCAAGACUUAUCCUG